CCUACGGGUGGCAGCAGUGAGGAAUAUUGGUCAAUGGGCGCAAGCCUGAACCAGCCAAGUCGCGUGAGGGAUGACGGUCCUAUGGAUUGUAAACCUCUUUUGUCGGGGAGCAAGGCCCGCCACGUGUGGCGGGAAGGAGAGUACCCGAAGAAAAAGCAUCGGCUAACUCCGUGCCAGCAGCCGCGGUAAUACGGAGGAUGCGAGCGGUAUCCGGAUUUCUUGGGUUUAAAGGGUGCGUAGGCGGAAGGUUAAGUCAGCGGUAAAAUGUCGGUGCUCAAGACCGGCCUGCCGUUGAAACUGGUCUUCUUGAGUGAGCGAGAAGUAUGCGGAAUGCGUGGUGUAGCGGUGAAAUGCAUAGAUAUCACGCAGAACUCCGAUUGCGAAGGCAGCAUACCGGCGCUCAACUGACGCUGAGGCACGAAAGCGUGGGGAUCGAACAGGAUUAGAUACCCGAGUAGUC
rnacentral:rRNA from 1 species